GCCAGAGUGGUGUAGUGGUUUGAGCAUUAGACAAUGACUCUGGAGACCAGGGUUUGAAUCCCUGCUCAGCCA